rnacentral:lncRNA from 1 species
CAUUUUUUCUUUUAUUUUUCUCUACAUUUCUUCUUCUUUUUUUUGAUUUUAUUUUUCACCCCUUUUUUUAUUAUUACAUCUGUAAAACCCCAAUUUGACUGUUUCCAGGUUCUCAAGAUGCGGCUGAAUGAUCUUCUUUUCAUGCUCCAGAAGACGGGUAAUCUCGUCAGGAAUCCCUUCAGCAUCAUCUUCCUCUGCCUCGAAUACAGGGAAUUCAAAAUUGGGAGAUGGCGUUGGAUCAUUAUGUUCAAUGGGUUUAGAAAUCAACCUGCAUAAUGAUUUUGGAUAUGAAAAGUUUUUAGAAAUCAAACAAGGCAAAUCAUUAUGCAGAUGAAAAGAUUAGAUGGCGUUGGAUCAUUAUGUUCAAUGGGUUUAGAAAUCAACCUGCAUAAUGAUUUUGGAUAUGAAAAGUUUUUAGAAAUCAAACAAGGCAAAUCAUUAUGCAGAUG